AACGAACGCUGGCGGCAUGCCUAACACAUGCAAGUCGAACGAGACCUUCGGGUCUAGUGGCGCACGGGUGCGUAACGCGUGGGAACCUGCCCUUAGGUUCGGAAUAACUCCCCGAAAGGGGUGCUAAUACCGGAUAAUGUCUUCGGACCAAAGAUGUAUCGCCUUUGGAUGGGCCCGCGUUGGAUUAGCUAGUUGGUAGGGUAAAAGCCUACCAAGGCGACGAUCCAUAGCUGGUCUGAGAGGAUGAUCAGCCACACUGGGACUGAGACGCGGCCCAGACUACUACGGGAGGCAGCAGUGGGGAAUAUAGGAAAAUGGGCGAUAGCCUGAUCCAGCAAUGCCGCGUGAGUGAUGAAGGCCUUAGGGUUGUAAAGCUAUUUUACCCGGGAUGAUAAUGACAGUACCGGGAGAAUAAGCUCCGGCUAACUCCGUG
rnacentral:rRNA from 1 species